rnacentral:lncRNA from 10 species
GCUUCGCAGGCGGCGGCGGCGGUGCAGGGCGCCAGGGCCACGUCCUCGGGGCCGCCGCAGGGGGGAGGCGCGUACUUGCGGCGCAGGGAGCGGCUGACGUUCUGCGUCGGGUACCCCAGGAGGCCCCUCCGCCGACCCCGCCGCCGUUGCCGUAGCCGAAGGCACCGCGGGCGCCGCCAGCCCCGGAGCCCCCGCAGCAGCAGCAGACGAGCCCCCAGAUGCCUACGGCCAGGCAGCCCAGCGCGAGCAGAGAGCCCAGGACGAUGCCGAUGAUCACGCCUAUACGCCGGGAGUCUGUGGAGAGAAGUGGAGGCAGCUCCAGGCCAAGAGAACAACAGCUCAUUCCUGAGAUAAGGAUCCUGCUGCCAUCUGCCAGAUCCUGAGGCUGCUCAAGGCAAGCCAGGGAUGAGCCAGAACUCGGCUGAGAGCAGAGGCUCCACCCUGGAGAAGCACCGCUGGAAGCACCCACACAGGAAGGACUCUCUCCAUGCCAUAGGAGCCUGCCAGGCAGGAUGCACUAAGGAAGUACUACAGGGAAUGUGAGAGGAGAGGCUGGAGAGAGGGAAGAAAGGCAAAGUGGAAGAGAGAGCUGGAUGGGAGACUUGAGGAGAGACAGGAAUGGAGGAAUCACAUGGGCUCUCCAAGGAAGAGGACAGUGGUGAUUCUUUGCCCCCCAAAAGCACCAGAAACUGGCCAUGCUUUACGGGGUGUCAUCUCAAUAGUGGUGCCUACUCUCUGCUUGCAAAUUCUUUCUGAAUCUUCAAGGUGCUUCCAGAACUCCUGAUCUUCCCUCUGGAGGUAAGGGAGGGGAGAAAAGGCGGCUCCAGCUGAGGGUAUUGAUGCGUUAAUGCAGCCAGUGCUGAGUUGUCCUCACACACCCAUUGACACACCACACAGGGGGAAGUCCGGGUCCCCACAGCACAGCUGGAGCCUCCCGAGUGGACUCUGCCAGCCCUGCUCUCAUCAGACAGAGAAGGGCUGCAGCUAUCCUGCCGGAAAUGUCAUCAUUCCCAUGCAGGUGCACGCACCCACACACUCACAUACACAUUCACGCUCACACAAAGGCUGAAAAUGUCACCCCGCCUUCCCAAAUUCCUCCUUCAUGCCCCUUCAUCCCAAAUCCAGACUGCAAGAGGGACUCGGAGCCCUUUCCAGUGAUGUUGGCAUAGAAUGCCCCUUGGUGGAACUUGCCCCAACCUGGGCAGGAAGCCACAAUGUCCAAACUUGAGCCCUGCCCUGUGGACCUGUCCUGGUGGGGUGAGAAGUCUCUGGAGUUGCCAUCCCCACCACCCUCAGGCCUCAUCCUAGAGUGGGGCACUGCCCUGUCAUAGCACAGGGGGCCCAAGGCUGAGGUCUCAGGCCUGAGCUGUCACUGGCCAUGAUGGAAGAAACCACUCAGACUUACACCAGACUUAGUCUCUUGCCCUUUCAAGGCAAGUGACUUCCCUGCCCCUUGGCCCUGGCCUUGGGAGAGAAGGAGUAGCGUUGGGAAUAGCACACAGUCUGAUGAAAAUUGAUCCUUCCCAAGCUCCUCCUGAGCCCUCACCCAAUGCCCGUGCUUACCCCUCUCCUACCCCACCUCCAGCUCCUGCAGAGCAAUCAAUCCCUCUCCUCCUAGUCACGGCAUGAGCUUGCAGGGCACCUGCACACAUGUGUGAGCCCGACAGGGGACAUAUAAAGAUCCACUCAAAGACCUCUGCACUACAGACACACACCCUGAACAUCAGGCACAGGGUCUCCUGGGGAAAGGUCCCCUGGUAAUACCCACACCCGGCUGCAGCAGGGCAAGGGUGGGCAGCACCCUGCCAGGCAACUCAGGCAGCCCCAGGCUCCACUGUGAGCCCUUGCUGCCCCUUUCCUUCCCACCUAGCCUCAUGCUGGCUACCCUGCCCCCUGCCCAGCCCCGUACCUGGGCUCAGGCACACGAGUAGAAGGUGGAAUGCUCCUCCAACUCUCAUGUCUCUAGGCUCGGUGUUUCCUCCGUCUGGGCUGGGUAUCCCGUGGGGUCGUAGUGGUGGGUGUGAGGGGGUAGGUGGAGGGAGGGGGAGCUGAGGGCCCAGACACUGCCUGGGGUGGCAGGAAGGUGCAAUGAGUGCCCAGCUGGGGAGCAGCUGGAGUUAUUUCUAUGGGAGGGAGGGGGCCUGGUCCCCGCCUUGGGGAGGAGUCCCAGGAACCCUAAUUAGCAGGGUGACAGGGUGGCCUACCUGGGCAUUACCCAGCCCUCACCCAAGCUCUUCCCUGUCCUAAGAGUGGCACAGGACAGCCAGCGGGACUUGUAAUUAGGCACCUGUUAAACUUCACUUCCUCCUGGCCACAUCCUCAGGGUGACAACAGUCACCUCAUUUACAGCUUCCAAGGGCUCCCCUCACCACUCAUUUGCUGCCUCCUUCCCUGGGGGAAGUGGGGAAGAGGAAGGAGAAGCCAGGCUUGGGAGAAAGAGUGGCCAGGACCUGAAGAGUUAAUCCUGAUCCCAGGGCAUAGGGUUCCCCAGGAGUGUCCAGCCCACCUUCCCCCAGGCUUCAGGCCUUUCAAAGGGACUCAGGCCUCCUGAGCUGAAAGAGGAGAGAAGGGGUGUGUGCAGGAACAGAGUCUCCUCCUGGCUGUCCCCUCUGGAACUGUCCUCCACACCCAUACUCGACUCAAGGCCAUCCCCAAGUGUAGGGGACCCCUGGGAGCAGGGGUGCUAUGGGGGGUCCAGGGUGUGUGCUAGGAGUAAGGUGACUGAUGGGCUAGUGAGGGAGUGUUGGAGAGAACAGCGCCAAGAGGACCAGGGAAGGGGGUGCCUGUGUAAGCGUGUGCACCCCUCAGCAAUGUCUGUGGGAGGGAGGCAGGAUGUCUGUGUCAGGGUGUCUCUGUGAGGAUGGCUAAGCCCCUCUGAGUGAACUUCUUGAGGGAUCGCUUGGUGUCCUGGCUUCUCUGCCCAGAAAGAGUAGCCAGGUCUUGAGGGUUAAUGCAGUCCCAGUAUUAACUGGGUCCUUGAGACCAAGGACCCUCAUAACCUGGACUGGUCAUCGGGCUGACUAAACCAGCACAGUUCUGGGUAAGUUCGUGCUGGGGUGGGGAGGGUCCUGGUAGGCAUGGGGAGCAAGUGAAGGGCCACCCCUUGUUGGCUUGUCUAAGGGGGACAGAAUGGGCAUGUGCCUUGUUGGACUCCAUGGUGGGAGUCAGGACAUGAGUGACCCCAUUCAAUAGCUCAACUCCCUCAAAGGAGUCAGGGACUGCCCCCAUCCCUACCAUGGGGCACAGAAAGGGCAGAGGAGGAAGAGUGUUAGGGAGAGUUAUGGGGCUCAGGGAUGCUGCCAGGGCCCACCCCUCUGGGGAAAAAUAAGUCAGAACAUUAAGGAAACACAAGGAGUCCACGCGUCUCUGCAUUCCAAGCCGUUGCACCUGAACUCCCAACAAUAACAGGGCGCUCUGAGACCUACCAGAUGUACACAAUGAAUAUCUUUAUUUCCUUAUUUAUUUUUAGGUUUAUGGGAUUGUCCUGCUCCCUUUGAAGAGCAGGGAUCAUUAUCCCCAUUUUACAGAUGGGGAAACAGAGACCUGGAGAAACAUGGGGAUUCAGCCAAUGCGGCUGGUGCCUAAGCUGGGAUACCCAGGUACCCAGGGUGUCAGUCCAGAGAGGUCCAAAAAAUGGUCUUGGUGAUCCUGUGGAUUACUAGACCCACUCACGAACAAGAACCAUGGAAGGUCAGGGUGAGUGGGAGGGAAAACAGGUCAGACCACGAACAGAGAGAUUGAGGAGAAAGCAGUAACAUUGUGGUUCCACUAAACUACAGUGCAGGCUUCAGAUUUAAUUGGGUUCUGGAUGUGGGCUAAUGUUAGAGCUGGGGUUAAGUUUGGGGUUAGUUGAAUUAUGAAUGAGGUUGAGGUCAGAUUUGAGGUUGGGAUUAGAGUUAAGGUUGGGAUUAGGGUUAGAAAUACAGCUAGAAUUGAGGCUCAGGUUUAUGGCUGGGAUUUGUGUUACGAUAAGGAAUAGAGUUUUAGUUUCAUUUACAGCUCUGCCUGGGAAUACAGUUAGGGCUAAAUCAAAGGCUGGGUUUAGAUUGAUUUAGCAUUGGGUUAGAACUAAGUUUGAGAUUCACAUUGAAAUAGGCUGUGGUUAGGGUUGGAACAUGGUUUAAAGACACGUAAGCAGCGGGAGUUGAUGGGGAUCAAAGAUGAGGUUUUAUUUCUAAUAUAGAAAGACUUCAGCCUCCAUCUGCUAAAUCCAGGUUUGGCUAGAAUUUUCAAUCCUUAGUGCGGGGAGACUACUAAUGGCACAUGUUGAUUGGGGUCCCAAGACUUGGAGGAGGAAGCCAAAUGUACACGAGCCCAUCUAAGGGGUAUGAGGCAACUAAAUCCCAUAGAGAAUGGACCCUCUGAAGUCCUGCUCCACUACUAAAGCUCACCACCUGGCCAAGCUCCAGAAAAACAUCUGGGGAGGAGACGCAGGAAGCUACUGACAAUGAGUUGGGCUCUGACACCAAACCGAACUAGAAGAUGGGGUCCAUCAGAGGGAGUCUUACUGAGUGGGGAGGAGGGGUGGUCUGGAUUUGGAGUCCUUAGGAGAUGGGAGUUGGGAGAAACUGAGGGCCUACAUGCUCCUAGAACAGCCACUUUAUGGGGCACCACAUGGGGGUCUUUCAAAGCCUGAAAGGGCAGAGUGCCAUUGUUGUUUCCCCUUGACCCUCUGAGGCUUAAUUGCUACCUUCUUGCAAUUUGAGUCCUAUAAAAGAAGCUGUCAGCCUUCCAGCCCUAAACCCUGAGCCCUGCAGGGUUUUCAGGGAGGGCAGCAGUGGGGAGGCUGUGGAUGGGGUGAAGGCACUGGGGUGUCAGCAUAGUUUCCAAAGCAUAUGUCACAGUCCUACAGUCCCCUCCCUCUGGGCCCAGCUCACAGUCCGUGUAAGUCUCUGGGCCUUAUCCUCAGCAGUGGAAGAGGGCCCCACUCCUAGGAAGACCCCGUCCCAAUUCCUCCCUCUCAUUUUUCCCCAACCAGUCUCCAGCCCAAACAUCUCAUUUCCCCACCCACUUCCUUUUCAGGUUUUAUAAAGGUCUGGUCCAGGAGACUACUGGGGUUCCCCCUGUGACCCCAGAGAGAGAGAAGAAAGAGAUUGGGAGAGAUAGUGAUGAGUUAAGGGGCAAAGACAGAGACAGGGACAGAGGCAGACAGAAAGACACAUGGUCUAAAUGGCCCCUCCAGAGACUCAGAGGGAUACAGAGGAGGCAGAGGGCCCAGGCCACGAGCUGGGAACCAAUACAAAUUUCCAAAAGGGCCCCUUGCUUUUUCCUAAGAAAUCCAUGACUCUCCAGGGAAGAAUGGCCCUGCUUUGACUGGUAUUUGCUUCUAUUCUAAGACAGUAACAGAAAAUCAAAGACUGGCUUAGAAAGGAGUAAACAGGGAGAUACAGGAGGUAGGAAGAGGCUGGACAAAAACUCAGAGAAGGCCACAGAUUGCUUACCAGAUGAAGUGCAGCCCAGCCCCAGAACCUUUCUGGGAAGGACGGACAGAGGGCUUGGGCUGCCUACUCUUCCUCCAAAGCCUAUUCUUCCUCCAAAGUCCCUUUCAUGGCAACUCCACCCCACUCCUCUAAGCCCUGCCCUCCCCUGCCUGUACUUGCCCACCCCAACCCCUCUCAGUGGCCGCCAGACUCCCUGGGCUCAGGCUCAAUCAAGCUCCCCACAACCCCUGCCUUGGCUGGCACUGCAAUUUGACUCAUUCUAAACUCCUCCCCACACAGUCAGCAAGCUCCUCAGCCCCCUCUCCCAAGUCCCCAUGUAGCCCAGGGCUCACCCUGCAGCACCCAGGGAGGAGCUGUCCUGCAGAGGAAACCUCUGAGGUAAGACUCUGGGAGCAGAAGCUGUGAGUGACAAUGGAUAGGCAAAGAGUCACAGAGAAGCCAAGGAGCCUUGCAGCUGCUGUCUGUCCACCCAGCUUUCAGUGAUGAUUUGGAGGUGGAGGUCUGCCAGGUGAGGCCAUGGUUGCAUGAGAAGGGCAGGGGGCUCAGAGGUUGCAUGGGUGGUGAUGGGACAACGUCGGAUUCUGGUUACAGAGAGGGAUGAGAUCGACAUGUGGGGCUAAGUUUGAGGGUGUGGGUUGGGUUCGAAACUAAGGCUCAAAUCAAAGCUGGCAGGGAAGAGCCGUGAACACAGGUGACACAGGGACUCCCCAAGCUCCUGCUUAGGUUUCCCAAACCUCAGUGGUUCUGACUGGUACACUUCAGAAGAAGUGGGAUUCUAGGAGGAGCCUGGAUAUGCCCACAUCUCUCCCAUCAAGCAAUGUCCUGAAGCUGACAGACUCAGAAGAGCAAGCAGCACACACAUAGUCCCCAUCAAUUAAAGGAGUGGCUGGAGUUGUCACUACAUCAACAAAGCACAAGAGCAAAGGGAGGCGAUUGAAUGCCACCAACUGAAUUGUUAGCAAGAGAAUGAGUGGAGGCGAGAAGAAAUCGCUUGUAAAGGCUAUGUGAUUCCCUGAUGACAGAUCUGAGGAAGAAUGAAGAGGCUUUGAAGAUAAAGGUAUCUUCACCUCGCCAAGAUCAACCACAUCCUGCAGAACCUUCAUUCAUUCAGCAAACAGCCAGGCUUUGUGCUAGGCCCUGGGGAAAUGGCAAUUAAGGAGACUCAGUCCCUAUCCUCACAGAACACCCCAUCUGACACGGAAAUAGCUCCUGGCCCGCAAUGUGGUAAGAUGCAGUAAUACGUGCAAGGCCCCUGACUUAGUGGCAAUGAUGUUUAAGCCGAGAUCUGAAGGAUAACUAACAACGGCGUGCCAGAGAAAAGAGUAGCGGGUGGAGAGAGGAGGCCAGGGGAAUAUUUCUGGGCUUGGUAAGUAAGCCAGGUCCCUGCCAGACAUGGACUGAGAAGAGCAAAGCCAGGAGUGACAGCUGACGAUUAUUUUUUAACUGAGGAAGGAAGAUCCUUGAGAACGGAACCUCUUGGGACCUUCUACCCAGAACACCAGAGCACCUCACUGGGAUCAGAGCCAGGCCAUCGGGUGGAUUAAGCAACUAAAAUUGAUUGUCCUGAACCAUGAGUCUGUCUGUUUAUGGGGAGAGAAACUUUGAGAUGAAUUAAUCCACAGGUCCAAUGGGACUUUGACAUUUUAAUUUGUAGAAAUAAAACUUGCCUUUGAUUUUGCCAUCUGGAUUCCCCAAACACGUAUCUACAGAGUGGAACUGUGGUGCCCCUUGACCUGCAGGGUGGCCCCAGGCCUGCCUUGCCCCGCUGGCAGUUGCCCAGGAAGGUGUGUAGGAG